AACGAACGCUGGCGGCAUGCCUAACACAUGCAAGUCGAACGAGACCUUCGGGUCUAGUGGCGCACGGGUGCGUAACGCGUGGGAACCUGCCCUUAGGUUCGGAAUAACUCCCCGAAAGGGGUGCUAAUACCGGAUAAUGUCUUCGGACCAAAGAUUUAUCGCCUUUGGAUGGGCCCGCGUUGGAUUAGCUAGUUGGUAGGGUAAAAGCCUACCAAGGCGACGAUCCAUAGCUGGUCUGAGAGGAUGAUCAGCCACACUGGGACUGAGACACGGCCCAGACUCCUACGGGAGGCAGGAGUGGGGAAUAUUGGACAAUGGGCGAAAGCAUGAUCCAGCAAUGCCGCGUGAGUGAUGAAGGCCUUAGGGUUGUAAAGCUCUUUUACCCGGGAUGAUAAUGACAGUACCGGGAGAAUAAGCUCCGGCUAACUCCGUG
rnacentral:rRNA from 1 species